rnacentral:rRNA from 1 species
UACAGAGGGUGCAAGCGUUGUUCGGAAUUAUUGGGCGUAAAGGGCUCGUAGGCGGUUUGUCGCGUCGGGAGUGAAAACCUUGGGCUUAACUCAGGGCUUGCUUUCGAUACGGGCAGACUAGAGGUAUGCAGGGGAGAACGGAAUUCCUGGUGUAGCGGUGAAAUGCGCAGAUAUCAGGAGGAACACCGGUGGCGAAGGCGGUUCUCUGGGCAUGAUCUGACGCUGAGGAGCGAAAGUGUGGGGAGCGAACAGG